rnacentral:siRNA from 1 species
UUUACGGAUUGCCACUUACCUC